rnacentral:rRNA from 2 species
UGGGGAAUAUUGGACAAUGGGCGCAAGCCUGAUCCAGCCAUGCCGCGUGAGUGAUGAAGGCCCUAGGGUUGUAAAGCUCUUUCAGUGGGGACGAUAAUGACGGUACCCACAGAAGAAGCCCCGGCUAACUUCGUGCCAGCAGCCGCGGUAAUACGAAGGGGGCUAGCGUUGUUCGGAAUUACUGGGCGUAAAGCGCACGUAGGCGGAUAUUUAAGUCAGGGGUGAAAUCCCGGGGCUCAACCCCGGAACUGCCUUUGAUACUGGGUAUCUUGAGUUCGGAAGAGGUAAGUGGAAUUGCGAGUGUAGAGGUGAAAUUCGUAGAUAUUCGCAGGAACACCAGUGGCGAAGGCGGCUUACUGGUCCGAUACUGACGCUGAGGUGCGAAAGCGUGGGGAGCAAACA